rnacentral:rRNA from 1 species
AACGAACGCUGGCGGCAUGCCUAACACAUGCAAGUCGAACGAUGGUCUUCGGAUCAUAGUGGCGCACGGGUGCGUAACGCGUGGGAAUCUGCCCUUGGGUUCGGAAUAACAGUUGGAAACGACUGCUAAUACCGGAUGAUGUCGAUAAGACCAAAGAUUUAUCGCCCGAGGAUGAGCCCGCGUCGGAUUAGCUAGUUGGUGGGUAAAGGCCUACCAAGGCGACGAUCCGUAGCUGGUCUGAGAGGAUGAUCAGCCACACUGGGACUGAGACACGGCCCAGACUCCUACGGGAGGCAGCAGUGGGGAAUAUUGGACAAUGGGCGCAAGCCUGAUCCAGCAAUGCCGCGUGAGUGAUGAAGGCCUUAGGGUUGUAAAGCUCUUUUACCCGGGAAGAUAAUGACUGUACCGGGAGAAUAAGCCCCGGCUAACUCCGUG